rnacentral:rRNA from 1 species
UACGUAGGGGGCAAGCGUUAUCCGGAUUUACUGGGUGUAAUGGGAGCGUAGACGGUUAUGCAAGUCAGAAGUGAAAGCCCAAAGCUCAACUUCGGGACUGCUUUUGAAACUGUGUAACUAGAGUGCAGGAGGGGUAAGCGGAAUUCCUAGUGUAGCGGUGAAAUGCGUAGAUAUUAGGAGGAACACCGGCGGCGAAGGCGGCUUACUGGACUGUAACUGACGUUGAGGCUCGAAAGCGUGGGGAGCAAACAGG